CUACGGGCGGCUGCAGUAGGGAAUAUUGGGCAAUGGGCGCAAGCCUGACCCAGCAACGCCGCGUGCGCGAAGAAGGCCUUCGGGUCGUAAAGCGCUUUUCUGAGGGAUGAGAAAGGACAGUACCUCAGGAAUAAGCCUCGGCUAACUACGUGCUAGCAGCCGCGGUAAAACGUAGGAGGCGAGCGUUAUCCGGAUUUACGGGGCGUAAAGCGUGUGCAGGCGGUCUGGCAAGUUGGAUGUGAAAGCUCCCGGCUCAACUGGGAGAGGUCGUUCAAAACUACCGGACUAGAGUGUAUCAGAGGGAGAUGGAAUUCCCGGUGUAGUGGUGAAAUGCGUAGAUAUCGGGAGGAACACCAGUGGCGAAAGCGAUCUUCUGGGAUACUACUGGCGCUCAGACACGAAAGCUAAGGUAGCGAACGGGAUUAGAUACCCUAGUAGUC
rnacentral:rRNA from 1 species